rnacentral:rRNA from 1 species
AGUGAACGCUGGCGGUAGGCCUAACACAUGCAAGUCGAACGGCAGCACAGGAGAGCUUGCUCUCUGGGUGGCGAGUGGCGGACGGGUGAGGAAUACAUCGGAAUCUACUCUGUCGUGGGGGAUAACGUAGGGAAACUUACGCUAAUACCGCAUACGACCUACGGGUGAAAGUAGGGGACCUUCGGGCCUUGCGCGAUUGAACGAGCCGAUGUCGGAUUAGCUAGUUGGCGGUGUAAAGGCCCACCAAGGCGACGAUCCGUAGCUGGUCUGAGAGGAUGAUCAGCCACAAUGGAACUGAGACACGGUCCAGACUCCUACGGGAGGCAGCAGUGGGGAAUAUUGGACAAUGGGCGCAAGCCUGAUCCAGCCAUACCGCGUGGGUGAAGAAGGCCUUCGGGUUGUAAAGCCCUUCUGUUGGGAAAGAAAUCCAGCUGGCUAAUACCCGGUUGGGAUGACGGUACCCAAAGAAUAAGCACCGGCUAACUUCGUGCCAGCCGCCGCGGUAA